rnacentral:lncRNA from 1 species
AUUGGAACAGCAUGUCUUAACUGAUUUGAAUGUUUUUAAGAUGCUUCCAUCCAGAUUUAAAAACUAUUUUAUGUUUUUUAUGUUCAUUUAUUUUCAACAAUGUUGUACUACCAACAAAUUAGUUUAAAUGUAAAUUUAAUUUAAAUGUAAAGAUAAGCCCAGCUUACCCAUUUUAAUUUUAUGUUACUAGUGCAUAUUCUGCAUGUUGAUAUGUGUUGAUGGCAUUUCUUUCAGUUGAAAUGGUUUGUCAGAGGCAGAGUGAUGUACUUUCCAUGGUAGAGGGUCUGGUGGGAUUUGGUGAAAAGACCGCCAACCAGGGCCUCCCAAGACUUGCUCUGUGGACCAGCAUUGUUCACUACUUAAAUUUACUGUGUGACCUUGGGACCCACUUCUUUGGGUCUCAGUUUUUCCAUCUGUAAAACGAGGAUUUUGCAGUAGAAUGCACCCUCUGGGUGUCUGUUGGGCCUUCAGGUCACCAUCUAAGGGCUGUGUUGCAGCCACUUGAAAAGGGCAACCAUAUGUAGAGCCUUAGAUGAAGCUGAUUUUGUCUUUCACUAAGUCUGGCCUGCCCUGCUUUGUGCAUUGCCCUUCCUUUUUUGGCCAUUUCCUAUAUCCCUGUUAGUUUUUGUCAAAGAAUGGCUGUCAUAAAAUUAACGCCUUGUGACGCUGCCAAGUUUAGGUAGGUCAUAAGGUCCUGAUGAGAAUUGGAUAGAGGGCUUUAGUUAUUUGAAGCUGUUUGAUAGCAUCUUCUCAGGAGAGACUGCUCUUGGGCGUGCAGGUAAUCCAGGGACUCUCUGAGGCUGGGGAGGAGGGUGUCCUAUGUCCUGGCUGCCGGGGCCACCCACGUGAAAUUUUGGCAAGCUUUUCCCAUGUCCCGUCCUCGCUCUUCAGCUCUUGAUCAGACUUGCAGGCCUUGGUCUCUGGAAUAAAAUGAUCAUGAUCAUUUCAUGCUGGCACCAUCACUGUAUUGAGCAGGUGCCCAUGAUUCGCCGCUGUAGUAGCAGGAGUGAUGGCUGUGGGAAUGCGCCUAUAGGAACUUUUUUCUUUUUUUUUCUUUCUGGCAAGCUGUGAUGAGGGGGCAGACAGUAAAGGAAACCUGUCAUAUUUGGCAUUUGUAUGGUACCUUGCUUUUAAGAGACUCACAAAACUCAGCUUUAUUAACCUUUAAGAAAGCAGGUGGAGAGAAGCCAGAGUUGUUAUCAGCACUUAAAAAAAGUGAGAAUAGGAGUUCCCGUCAUGGCAUCAGUGCUAACAAACCUGACUAGUAUCCAUGAGGAUGGGGGUUCGAUCCCUGGCCUCGCUUAAUGGGUCCAGGAUCUGGUGUUGCCAUGGCUGUGGUGUAAGCCGGCAGCUGUAGCUCUUAUUCGACCCCUAGCCUGGGAACUUCCAUAUACCUCAGGUGCAGCCCUAAAAAAAAGAGCGAAACUUCAAACAGCAGAUUGGAGCUGAAAGAGAAGAAGGAUAUGGAGGCUAGAGAGUCGAGCCAUGACAACCUGGCAAGAAGAAGCCUUGAUUGGUUUAAAGGUAUUAGAGGCUGUUGGGUGCAGAUUUACAGGAGAGCUUCUCUUUCCACAUGAUCUUUUUUUCUGUAGUAUUUGCAUCUUACCUCGUCUUCUAAGCACUGAAUAAAUAUUAGGACAGGUAUUAUUUUUAUAACAGGAUAAAAGUCACAACGUGUCAUUUAUUGGUAUAUAAAGUAUGUGGAUUCAUGUGGACAGUGAGGGAAAAAGAACAUGGAAAAAAAGAAUGAUAUGGAAUUAUGGAUUAAGGUAUUUCUUUAUUGUCUGUUAAUGAUUUGGUAGUUGUUAUAAAUGAAGUGACCCAUUCUGUCCAUUGCCUUUUGUGGAAAUCUUGCAACAUUUUGUCUGCCAGGUAGUCGCUGAGGUUUUUGAAGUAUAGCUCUCCUGGAAAGUAUGCUUCAGGAAUGCUUCAAGGAGGAGGCAGAGUGAUUUUGUUUUGUUUUAUUUUGUUUUGUUUUCCUUUCAAGUUGACUGAAAAGAAUGCCCUUUUGGAACUGAGCUAGGAGAAGUAUGGGCUCAGGAGGACGAGGUUGGGGAGAAACAGCAGCGUUCCAGAGGGGGACAUGCUGCUGUUGAAGACGGGAAGGUUGGCAUUACCUGUGGUCUGGAAUUAGCAUUUCUGAAAUCCCUGCCCUGUAAAUCAGAGCUUAGUUUCUACACAAUUUAGAAGUUACUGAGUGUCUCCUGUGUGCAAAUCACAGCGCUGGGGCUGUUGUCUGUUGGAGCGGUUUCCACUAUCCUUAUCCAAGUGAUCAAGAUGACCAUGUAGUGACUAUUUCAUAGAUAUCUUCAAAUUAGAUGUGUCUGGAGUUCCCGUCGUGGCGAAGUGGUUAACGAGUCUGACUAGGAACCAACCAUGAGGUUGCGGGUUCGAUCCCUGGCCUUACUCAGUGAGUUAAGGAUCUGGCAUUGCCUUGAGCUGUGGUGUAGGUUGCAGACAGGGCUCGGAUCUGUUGUGGCUGUGGCUGUGGUGUAGGCAGCUUAGCUCUGAUUGGACUGCUAGCCUGGGAACCUCCAUAUGCCGCAGGUGUGGCCCUAGAAAAGGC